CGGCGGACGGGUGAGUAAUGCCUAGGAAUCUGCCUGGUAGUGGGGGACAACGUUUCGAAAGGAACGCUAAUACCGCAUACGUCCUACGGGAGAAAGCAGGGACCUUCGGGCCUUGCGCUAUCAGAUGAGCCUAGGUCGGAUUAGCUAGUUGGUGAGGUAAUGGCUCACCAAGGCGACGAUCCGUAACUGGUCUGAGAGGAUGAUCAGUCACACUGGAACUGAGACACGGUCCAGACUCCUACGGGAGGCAGCAGAA
rnacentral:rRNA from 1 species